rnacentral:rRNA from 1 species
GACUCCGUGAAGCUGGAUUCGCUAGUAAUCGCGCAUCAGCCAUGGCGCGGUGAAUACGUUCCCGGGCCCUGUACACACCGCCCGUCAAGCCAUGGAAGCCGGGGGCGCUUGAAGUGCGUUGCCGCAAGGCGCGCCCUAGAGCGAAACCGGUGACUGGGGCUAAGUCGUAACAAGGUAAC